GGAAGCACCGGCUAACUCCGUGCCAGCAGCCGCGGUAAUACGGAGGGUGCAAGCGUUGUUCGGAUUUAUUGGGCGUAAAGCGCGUGUAGGCGGUUUGUUAAGUCUGAUGUGAAAGCCCUGGGCUCAACCUGGGAAGUGCAUUGGAAACUGGCAGACUUGAAUACGGGAGAGGGUAGUGGAAUUCCUAGUGUAGGAGUGAAAUCCGUAGAUAUUAGGAGGAACACCGGUGGCGAAGGCGGCUACCUGGACCGAUAUUGACGCUGAGACGCGAAAGCGUGGGGAGCAAACAGGAUUAGAUACCCUGGUAGUCCACGCCGUAAACGAUGAGUAUCUAGGUGUUGCGGGUAUUGACCCCUGCAGUGCCGCAGCUAACGCAUUAAGUACUCCGCCUGGGAAGUACGGUCGCAAGACUAAAACUCAAAGGAAUUGACGG
rnacentral:rRNA from 1 species